rnacentral:lncRNA from 1 species
AGUAUCUGGUUUUCUUUGACAACCUGAGCAAUUACCAGAUAUGGGAAUAAAAAAUUAAUUACAAAGCACUGAAUUGAUUGCAGCAAUAACAAACUAGUGCAUGGGAAUUUUUAAAAGAGAACAAAAUUUACACAACCACGUCUAUUUUCAGUUUAUCAAGUCAUCCCUAAUUUAUGUCUACUAAAAGUCAGUUUAGGUUCACUGUGAUAUGAUGCUUUCACGCAAUCACACAAUACAGAGGGAGGAGGAUCCGGGCAGCUGUGCAGGUAGAAUGUGAACAGGAGGAGAAGGCAAGAGACAGGAGAGCGAGCAAUCCAAUAUGGACAAUGAAUAAUAAAGUUUUGUAAUUUUGCUUAAUCUAACGGUUUUAGAAUGUGGUCCAAACAGAGACUACGUAUAAAGGUGGUCCACCCUACAAUCUGCCCUUUUAUUAUAUGAUGACAUGAAGCUGGCAUGAAGCACUGAUCCUAUGUUUAAGAGCCUUAUAGAUUUAGCAAUCAGGGGCUUAAAGAUGGUUUUUAUAACGCCCUAAAGUAACAAUAACCUGCCAAUAUAAGCUCCAUCUAGCAAUAUUGUAUGUGCUUGUGUGCACACUAGAAAAAGAUAGACAGAAUUUUCACAAAAUUCAUUGGUUGUUGGAUUGAAUAAAGAUAGACGUGGCACCCACAAUGGUCGACACGUAGCACCUCACUUAAGGGAUGUGGGUGCCACGUCAGCGAAGACUAAGUCAAAAGUGGCCUUGGGGGCUAAAACUGCCAAAGAUCCAAUACAUAGGGGGCUGUUUUGUAUUUUAAUUAGUUAGAGGGCCAAAAUCGCAACUUUUGAAAAGAUAGGGGGUCAAAAGUGCAAUUAAGCCUUUUGAUUUCCCUAAUUUGUAAUUAUCCAUCUUUUAUGUGGUUUUUGGCUCUAUGUAGGAAGAAAUUUGCAGAUUUUAACAUAAUGGAGUAGAAAUGGUGAGAGAAGGAGAAAUGGGGCACUCACUCACUCUGGUGUUACGUGCAUCAUAAGAUCACAUGGAAUCUCUCAAUCCAAUGGUUAUUAGUUGUGGUUCACCAUGAACCACUUAGUUGCUAGUCCACCUUAGACGUCACUAACAUUUAAACUACAAAAUAAUAUCAAUACAGAACAAACUUGGCUUACC